rnacentral:misc_RNA from 1 species
UAAUUAUCAAAUUGAAGCAGACGUCACUGCCCUUGUACAUCCCACUAACGUGCAAAAUUAAACAUUGAUUUUCCAUGUUCUUGCUUCCUCUAUAUAAUAGAAUUUAGGAUCUAGUUUCCUCUACGUGCUCUUAUGAUCAUGGAGAAGAGCAAAUCUUUCUCAGCUUAUUCUAAUGCCUAUUCAGAAAUCCGGCUAGGGUUUGAAGAGCGGUCUAAGUCUUAUAGCUUUAACGGUCCGGCAACUGGCAAGAUAGAUGAGCUAGAACCCUCAGGCAAUCCUGAGAUGAAGAGGAGAAAGAGAGUGGCUCAAUAUAAUAUGUACACCAUGGAAGCUUUCCCCUGAAGGAACUGAGGUAUGAUAGGUGUUACCUGUAUAUGAGGCUUCUGCAAUCUUGUUGACAAUGAAUCACUUCUGGACCAUGU